UUCAUUCAAAUAAUUUCCCACGGAUUUUUAACCCCUGGGAGCCCCCUAGUGUCCUGUUUGGAAACAGCCUCAGAAAUGUCCGUCUCACGGAGGUAAAAAGGAUUGAGAGCGUUUGCUUAGCAGCCGCGGAAUAAACACCUUAUAAAAUGAGGAAGGCCGUCCCCCCGCUGGCCAUCCCACGUAGCUGGGGCUCAGAGCACCAGCGUUUCCACGAACUACGACUCACCUUACCAUCUGGACCGUUCACAGAGUGACAUUUGUCUCCCACCGCUUCUAAGAAGAGAAGGCCUAGAAGUUCAUAAAAAGUUCUAAAAUUCAAGAAUGUAUAGAGUCAUCACGGAGCAAGAGAAGAAUUAGGAAAUCACCAAUGCUGUGGUUAAGAAUGCACGUUAUUUUGCAGCAUUUUGGGGAGUGAAGACAACCUUGACUGAGGAGAUAAUGCAAUGGACUAGCAGAACAUCUGGACCCCAAGAGUUUUGAUCUGAGCAACUGGAAUAACGGGACUGAUUGAGAAGGGAAAGAAUAUGAGUAGGGCGGGUUUGGGAUAUCAUGUUGACUCACCCUGUAAAUCCAUGGACUAGAAACACUGUUGAAGAAAAAUCACAUGGUUAUGCCAACAAGCAAGUUUUGAGCAUUGCUUGCAGAUGAGGCACAGAAGACAGAAGCGGAUUUACUGAAAGACUGAGCAUGAACAGAACUGCUCCAAGACCCAGAAGACAUCAUAGUGAGGAGAGACUUCCUCUGAGAUUCUUAUGGAGCCCAACAAUGCUCUGCUCCCUUGGGGAGCUGAAGCUAUGGCAACAUGGGUAUGGUGCCACGUACCCAUUAGUCAUAGCAACAGGAGAGCUUCUUCAGACUACUUUGAUGGUAAUGAUGUUAGCCUGAGGAAGCCAGAACAAGAAAGGAAGACUAUGAAGAUGUCACACUGGGAGUGUGAGCACCUGUGAGGCCUCCCUUUGGAAACUGGCAGACAUAAAUGUAAGAUACUUGGAUGCUGAGGUCUUGUAAACAUACUGCAAGGGGCAUUACAGUUCGGACAUUAAAAAUAAAAGAGUUCUAAUUUUA